ACUAUCAGCUUCUUACCAGUUCAUCAUGAGAAACUUAAGCUUUUUAUUUAUUCUGGCUGUCUUCGUAUUGGAAAUCAACGGAAAAUGCAGUCCACGAAUUGCAAGGAUUGUGGCCCCUGUUUGUGGAGUUGCCGCAGAUUGCAACUACGAUGCCACUAACAGAUGGGACGCCGACAAUCAGUCUUGCGAACGCAAAGAAAUAGGACUAUCACCCUUCUUGGAAAUUAAAGGCGGAAAAUGUCCAUCAGAUAAACCCGAGUGUAAAUAUAUACAUAAUGGAAUACCUUUAAGCUAAAAGUAUAUUGUAACAUCCAAUAAAAGAGCUUGAAGCGAAAUUGUGUUUUCUUGGCCAUAUCUAACUUGGUUUAGUAGCAGUUUAAUUUUCAAUUUCAGUGCACAUCGGCAACGAGCAUUUAUGUAUAUGCAUCUGUGUGUGCAUCUAGAGAAACUAGAAACUUUAUAGUUUUUAUGAAAUAUGUGUAUUAAAUAAAACAUUGUUAUUCUAUCGUGUUUAAGCAUAGGCUGAACUGUAACGCUGAAACGAAGGAGAACUCGGAAAACGCUUUUCGAAAAGCGCUUUGAACUUAAACCAACUUUCAGACAUUUAUAUUGUCCUAAAAACUCACGAUUGUGUGACAAACUUGUAACCAUAAUUUGGCCUUCCUUUCGAUUUCACGGAUAAACCGACCCUUAAAUUCAUUUUUCGCAGUACUAAUUCUCAGGCGCUAUAUAAACCUGUCAUCGUUUUUAAAACUAUCAGCUUCUUACCAGUUCAUCAUGAGAAACUUUAGCUUUGUUUUUAUUCUGGCUGUCUUCGUAUUGGGAAUCAACGGAAAAUGCAGUCAAAUGGCUGCAUUGAUUUUGGCCCCUGUUUGUGGAGUUGCCGCAGAUUGCUACUUGAAUGCCGACAACCGGUGGGUAUUCGAAAAUCAGUCUUGCGAACGCAAAGAAAAAGGACUACCACCCUUUUUGGAAAUGAAAAGCGGAAAAUGUCCUACAGAUAAACCCUCGUGUGGAUAUAUAUAAUGGAUUACCUUUAAGCUCAAAGUAUAUUGUAACAUCCAAUAAAAGAGCUUGAAUCGAAA